GUCCGGCUGUGACGCUUUUAACAAACACGGAAGUGAAGAUCGUCAGCGUGACGGAGACCCAGAAAGUCAGGGGAUAGUGACGUUAAUCCUCUAAUUUACACCGGUUUUUCUUUCUGUUUGGGGUUUUUUUUUCCUAUGUGGAAGUUUUAGGGUUUGUUUAUAUAAUUGGAGCAGGGGAAGUGCUGAAAUGGCGUUUGUAAACCUGUUUACGAGUCUUAGCAGCCCUAAAGAAGACAGUGGGCGCCACGCGCAGCCCGCCUUCACACACCGGAAUUUCACUGAUUAUAGUCCCAGAGGUGGAUUCAGGAAGAGGAAAACCAACAAAGGGCAACCUGGGUCUCCUUGGAAGAGGCCAUGUAACAGAGAGCAGACAAACACGGCUCACGAUGCCUCCAUGGACAGGAACUCACAUCAUCCACACGGUGCUGAUCGUGGCAACAACUGCUACCACGGUCAAAAUCCACAGAGGACAAAUGGCUCGAACGGGAACAAGCAACAUCAACAACAACAACAAGGAAAUAAAAACAACAAUAAGAAAAACAACUAUCGGGAGGAUGUCACAAACAGAGGAUGGCACAGCAGGCGUGGAGGCAGAAAAGGUGCCCCAGGACGUAAAUACGGCGGGCAGGAUGUUCGUACAAAGACUAUGAGAAUGGACCCAAAGUUCAAGGAGCAGAAUGUGGUAGAGCUGGAUGGACGCAUGCUGUGUCGGCAUUUCUUUUUAGGAGCUUGCAUCAAGGUUAGGAACCGUCACCUCCAUAUCAAACGUCUGACGUUGUUGUGUCUCAUUACUGCCUUAUGUCUUUCCUUUACGAAGGGAGACCAGUGCCAACUGGAGCACAUUCAAGGCUACAAUGGCCUCAUCAAGGAAUGCUGCAAGUUCUACGUGCAGGGCCAAUGCAGCCGAGGCCAGAGCUGUCCGUUUAUGCACAAUAUCCUUCAUCAUGACCUUAUAGC
rnacentral:lncRNA from 1 species